GUGCUCGCUUUGGCAGCACAUAUGUUAAAAUUGGAAUGAUACAGAAAAAAUUAGCAUGGCCCCUGUUCAAGGAUGACACGCAAAUUUGAGAAUAUUUUA
ensembl:snRNA U6 U6 spliceosomal RNA